GAAUGCUGACAUAAGUAACGAUAAAGCGGGUGAAAAGCCCGCUCGCCGGAAGACCAAGGGUUCCUGUCCAACGUUAAUCGGGGCAGGGUGAGUCGACCCCUAAGGCGAGGCCGAAAGGCGUAGUCGAUGGGAAACGGGUUAAUAUUCCCGUACUUGGUGUUACUGCGAAGGGGGGACGGAGAAGGCUAUGUUGGCCGGGCGACGGUUGUCCCGGUUUAAGCGUGUAGGUGUGUGUUCCAGGUAAAUCCGGUUCACUUUAACACUGAGGCGUGACGACGAGGCACUACGGUGCUGAAGCAACAAAUGCCCUGCUUCCAGGAAAAGCCUCUAAGCAUCAGGUAACAUCAAAUCGUACCCCAAACCGACACAGGUGGUCAGGUAGAGAAUACCAAGGCGCUUGAGAGAACUCGGGUGAAGGAACUAGGCAAAAUGGUGCCGUAACUUCGGGAGAAGGCACGCUGACACGUAGGUGAAGUGAUUUACUCAUGGAGCUGAAGUCAGUCGAAGAUACCAGCU
rnacentral:rRNA from 1 species